UGGGGAAUCUUGGACAAUGGGGGCAACCCUGAUCCAGCCAUGCCGCGUGAGUGAUGAAGGCCUUAGGGUCGUAAAGCUCUUUCGCCUGUGAAGAUAAUGACGGUAGCAGGUAAAGAAACCCCGGCUAACUCCGUGCCAGCAGCCGCGGUAAUACGGAGGGGGUUAGCGUUGUUCGGAAUUACUGGGCGUAAAGCGCACGUAGGCGGACCAGAAAGUUGGGGGUGAAAUCCCGGGGGCUCAACCCCGGAACUGCCUCCAAAACUAUUGGUCUAGAGUUCGAGAGAGGUGAGUGGAAUUCCAAGUGUAGAGGUGAAAUUCGUAGAUAUUCGGAGGAACACCAGUGGCGAAGGCGGCUCACUGGCUCGAUACUGACGCUGAGGUGCGAAAGUGUGGGGAGCAAACAGGAUUAGAUACCCUGGUAGUCCACACCGUAAACGAUGAAUGCCAGUCGUCGGAUAGCAUGCUAUU
rnacentral:rRNA from 1 species